rnacentral:tRNA from 1 species
GCUAGUGUGGUGUAGUGGUUAAGAGCAGUGGACUCAUAAUCUGGUGAACCGGGUUCAAUUCCCUGCACCUCCACAUGCAGCU